CCUACGGGAGGCAGCAGUAGGGAAUCUUCCACAAUGGGCGAAAGCCUGAUGGAGCAACGCCGCGUGGGUGAAGAAGGUCUUCGGAUCGUAAAACCUUGUUGUUAGAGAAGAAAGUGCGUGAGAGUAACUGUUCACGUUUCGACGGUAUCUAACCAGAAAGCCACGGCUAACUCCGUGCCCGCAGCCGCGGUAAUACGUAGGUGGCAAGCGUUGUCCGGAUUUAUUGGGCGGAAAGGGAACGCAGGCGGUCUUUUAAGUCUGAUGUGAAAGCCUUCGGCUUAACCGGAAUAGUGCAUUGGAGACUGGGAGACUUGAGUGCAGAAGAGGAGAGUGGAACUCCAUGUGUAGCGGUGAAAUGCGUAGAUAUAUGGAAGAACACCAAUGGCGAAAGCGGCUCUCUGGUCUGUAACUGACGCUGAGGUUCGAAAGCGUGGGUAGCAAACAGGAUUAGAUACCCUUGUAGUC
rnacentral:rRNA from 1 species